rnacentral:rRNA from 1 species
UACGUAGGGGGCAAGCGUUGUCCGGAUUUAUUGGGCGUAAAGAGCGUGUAGGCGGCCAGACAAGUCUGCUGUGAAAACUCGAGGCUCAACCUCGAGAUGUCGGUACGAACACUUGGCUAGAGUCCGGAAGAGGAGAGUGGAAUUCCCGUGUAGCGUGGAAUGACGCAGAUAUCGGAAGAACACCCGUGGCGAAGGCGGCUCUCUGGGACGGUACUGACGCUGAGACGCGAAAGCGUGGGGAGCGAACAGG